rnacentral:misc_RNA from 1 species
GAUGAAGAACGCAGCGAAAUGCCAUACUUGGUGUGAAUUGCAGAAUCCCGUGAACCAUCGAGUCUUUGAACGCAAGUUGCGCCCGAAGCCAUCAGGUUGAGGGCACGUCUGCCUGGGCGUCACAUAUCGUUGCCCAAUGCCUAUUGCAGUGCAAUAGGAAUUUCUAGGGCGAAUGAUGGCUUCCCGUGAGCGUUGUUGCCUCGCGGUUGGUUGAAAAUCGAGUCCUUGGUAGGGUGUGCCAUGGUAGAUGGUGGUCGAGUUAGAACGAUACCGAUCAUGUGCAUGCUCCCGAAAAUAUGGCCUCUAUGACCCACACGCGUCUUUUGACGCUCAUGACGAGACCUCAGGUCAGGCGGGGCUACCCGCUGAAUUUAAGCAUAUCAAUAAGCGGAGGA